rnacentral:rRNA from 1 species
AUGAAAAUAAUAGCUUGGAACUGCCGGGGACUGGGGAAUGGCCCGGCAGUCCGGGGGCUUCUGGACCUCCAGAAGCAGGAGGACCCCGACAUCCUCUUCUUGUCUGAAACCAAAAUGGAUGAGAGGAGAAUGGAGAAAUUCAAGUGGAUGCUGGGAAUGAGCAAUAUGGUGGUAAGAGACUGCAAAGGAAAAAGUGGAGGACUAGCUUUGUUUUGGAAGAAAGAAAUAAGGUUGGAGUUGCACAACUACUCAAGAUAUCAUAUUGAUGCAGAAGUGAUAGAAAAAGAUGGUUUCAAAUGGCGCUUCACAGGUAUUUAUGGGGAACCAUCUACUGAUAGAAGGAAAGUAACUUGGAGGCUCCUGCGCAUUCUUAAGCAACAAUUGAACCUUCCAUGGUUAUGUGCAGGCGAUUUCAAUGAAAUAUUAUUUAACCAUGAGAAGAAGGGAGGGCCAGCUAGAGCACAAAGUCAAAUGGAGGGAUUCCGAAUGGCUCUUGAUGAUUGUGGCCUUAAGGAUUUAGGCUAUGUAGGAGAUAAGUACACCUGGCGCAAUCAGAGUUGGGAGGCUAGCUGA